CAUAGGCGUUGGUCUUUUGUGAGCUGAGACUUGAGGCUGCCCUGACAAUAUAUAAUGAAUUAAAAAAGGUAUUCAAAUAUACCUUCCCCAAGAAACCAGAGGCCUUUCUCCUGGGCAUAGUCGGCCAAAUGGUGUUAAAAAAGGAUAGAACUUUCUUUAUGUACGCAACAACAGCAGCAAGAAUACUCAUUGCAAAGUAUUGGAAGUCACAAGAGCUUCCCACACUGGAGGAAUGGCAGAUGAAACUGAUGGACUAUAUGGAACUGGCGGAAAUGACUGGCACAAUCCGUGACCAGGGAGAAGAGUCGGUGGAGGAAGAUUGGAAGAAAUUCAAAGACUGGAUUGAAAAUAAGUGGCUUCCAGCUGUACAGGAUUUAAAGAUAUAUAGAUUAAGAUUAAGGAUUAGGAUUAAAAACGUUUAAGGAAAUGGAAACUUGGUUUUUAAGAGGUAAAAUUUUAAUGUUAUAUUAUAUUAAGAUUAAAGAUUGGGAUU